rnacentral:tRNA from 1 species
AAAAAGAUCAGCUAAGUUUAAGCUAAUGGGUUCAUACCCCAUAAAUAGGAUAAUCCUUCUUUUUA